CUCUUUUAGAAAAUACUGAUUCAUGUCUACUGAAUAUGGAUGCUGGGUUGAUAAACGGUGUUCUUUUCCUUGAUCUAUGCAAAGCAUUUGACACAGUUAAUCAUAAAAUUCUUAUUAAAAAAUUAUUUAUUUAUGGAAUUCGAAACAAAUCCCCUAGACUGGUUUAAAUCGUAUUUGCACAAUAGAAAACAAUUCUGCGUGGUAAAUAAUGCAACAUCGUACACAAAGAAAGUAAGUUGUGGGGUUCCAAAAGGAUCAAAUCUUGGUCUCUUCUAUUUUUGUUAUAUGUGAACGAUCUCCCAAACUGUAUGGAGAACUCACAUGCAGCAAUGUAUGCUGAUGACACAAAUAUUACAGUGCGUUCAUCUAGUUAAUUCAUGUGGAAGAGGCCUUAAAUAGUGAAUUGGAAAAUAUUCAUCACUGGCUUCUUUCAAACAAAUUACCGUUAAAUGUAGAAAAAACAGAAUAUAUGAUCAUUGGAACACGUCAAAGGUUGAAUAAUCUUUCUCAAGACAUUAAUGUUUCUAUCGAUGGGAAAGUAUUAAAAGAGGUUGAAACCAAAAAGACCUUAGGCGUAUUGGUUGACGAACAUCUGUGCUGGGAUAAGCAGAUUGACAACAUCAGUUAAAAAGCUUCAAAGGGCAUUGGCAUGUUGCGCCGUGUAAAGCCCUAUGUUCCAACCAAAACUCUUCAACAUCUUUACCAAGCCCUAGUUCAACCACACUUUGAUUACUGCUCAAUGGUUUGGGGUAACUGUGGUGAAUAUUUAAGAGGGAAGCUUCAAAACCGAGCUGCUAGAGUUAUUACCGGCGACCCAUAUGAAAUACGCUCGAUUGAUAUUUUAAAGAAACUAGAAUGGAAAACGUUAAGUGAAAGAAGAAGGAGCAACAACUAAAAUAUGUAUCAAAAGCUCUUACAUGCCAAUGUCCUAAGAACAUUUCGGAUAUGUUCAAAUUAUCCAACUCUGUAAGAUAUGAAUUAAGAAGCAAUAAUAAUAAGCUGAUGUUGUCGAAGCCAAAAACAAAUUCAAUGAAACGUACUUUCGGUUAUGCUGCUGCUAAAGUUUGGAAUGAAA